UUUUACAUUAUAAUAAGAAUUAAAGUAUUAGUAAUUUAUUUUUGUUACUAAAAUUAAAAUCAGUUUGUUCCUGCAUAAAUCUUUUUUGUACUAAACUGCUUUGGAAUGAAUUUUUUGGGGGGACAACAGCAGGAUUAGGGCCGUCUUCUAGAUGCCAUCAGGUAGGUGCGCUAGCGUAGUCGUGUGUUGUAGCAUUAUAUCCCUUUUCCCCCUUUUUUAAAAAUGUUUGUAAGACGCCUGAAAUUUGUAUAAGUUAGUUAUAUAAGUAGUUGAAUAAGAAUUGGUGAGACUUGGAAAAUAGAAGAGGAUUGCUUUGAAAUAGAAGGAAAGGAGAUAGAAGAUGUUUGAGGGGAAAGGAGGAGGAUUUUGUUCGCUGUAAUGGAAGUUUUUUGAAUGAAAUUUGGUGCAACUGUAUUAAGGUGUUAUUGAUAUCUUGGACAUCAGGUUUCAUUUAUUUGUGUAUUAUACAAGCCUAUCUAUUGGUGGAUAUGUAAAAUGGCAGCUGGUAUAACACCUUGUAUGAAUUAUUAGUAACUCCAAAGAAAUUUUUACAUAAUUUAAACUGGGAAGAAGCUCAUAAAAGACGAGUUUAGGCUGCAGUAGUACCAGGACCUUAAAUUGGCUUCCACAACACAGAUAUCUUUCAAAAAUGAUAUCUGUUCGAGUGAUGUACUGGGCGUUAACAGUUGCUGUUACAAAUCUGCAAAUGAGUUACUACUGUGCAUACGUUUGAGGAAUGUCAAGAAAUGUUUUGAAUGAAACGAUAGUGAAAAACUUGUCCACAAAUGUCAAUUUCAAGAUACAAUCAAUAGUACUUAGAUUGAUUAGCCUUCAUUACCAUUGCACUAUGAAAAUGUCAGCAAUACAAAUUGGUAUUAAUGGACGUUUUGACAGCUGUUUCCAGUCCAAGUUCCAGUUUUAAUGGAAAAUCUUCAAUGGACACAGAAAAAUGCCAUUUACUGGAUUGACUUCUACACCUGUUGCCUUUUAAUAAUGGUAUACAACGGUACAAUUAUUGCUGUUAGAAGUCAACAAGUAGUACUAGUUGCAGAUAAUAUAUUAUGGUGGACAUCAAAAAGCUUUAAAUGGAAUGAAACUUGCAGGAAGAAUAAAGGAAAACCAUUUUAGACUGUAUAUGUAAUAGCUGUUAGAGUGGAUGCAGUCCUUCAUCAAUGUGAGCUGAACAAAUUGAUGGUAAUGGACAUUUUGACAGCUGCUGUCACAACUCAACGAACAAGUUGCAGCUUUGAAGGAAAAUUUUUGAUUGGAUACAGAGAAAUGUCAGUCGUUUCAGGAUGGAAAGUUAAUAGAACCAGGGUUGGGCUCGACAUCUGUUGCCUUUUAAUAAUGGCAUACGAUAGGACAAUUGCUAUUAGAAACCGAUAAGACAUACUAGCUGCAAAUAAUAUGUAUGGUGGUCAUAAAAGAGAUUUAAAUGGAAUGAGAGAGAGGAACUUGUGCAGAAGAAAUCGAGGUAAACCAUUUUGAACUGCUGUUACUUAAUAGCUGUUAGAGCGUAUCCAGUUCUUUAUGAAUGGUAUAUGCUGGGGCAAUUGCUGUUAAAAAUCCACAAGUCGUACUAUCUGCAAAUAUUAUGGCGGACAUCAAAAAGCUUUAAAUGGAAUGAAACUUGUGCAGAAGAAAUCGAGGAAAACCAUUUUGAACUGCUGUUACAUAAUAGCUGUUAGAGCGGAUCCAGUUCUUUAUCAAUGGUAUAUGCUGGGACAAUUGCUGUUAAAAAUCCACAAGCCGUACUAUCUGCAAAUAUUAUGGUGGUGAUCAAAAAGCUUUAAAUGGAAUGAAAUUUGCAGGAAAAGACUCAGAAAGACCAUUUAGGACUGUACUUAAUAGCUGUUGAAAAGUGGUCGCAGUCCUUUAUCAAUGAUAUCUCCUCAUUUUCUUAACAAUGGAUAUCAACAGUUGCUCCUACUCCUCGCUUUCCUCUUUCACUCAACAUGAAGCAGACUCAAUAUUCCUCAAUAUCUGACCAAGGUUCGUUAGCUUCAUUAAUAUUGUUAUUGUUUCAAUAAAUUUGUUUACUGGUUUUUAUCCUUUUCUUAACUAUUUAAGUAUAUCAGGCGUCAUAUUAGUGUUAUUGAUUUUUUGUAAAAUUUUGAUAAUCUGGAUAAAAACCGUUUUUUUUCUUAAGAUUUUGCAAAUAAAAUACUUGUUAAGAACAAUUAACUUUAUUUCAUGAAUAGGAUAUAUUUCUGUUUAUAUUGUCUUUUUUUUUAUUUAUAUUUUGAUGCUCUAUUUAUUAUCUAAUCGCCUCUAGUUUGAGGCAUGUUUGAUUAAUUUUAUAUCAUUAACAUCUAUGCAUUAAUCUUUAUGAAAAAUAUGUUGAGCAAUAUAAUAAUAAUCUGUUAUAAUUUCUCUUCAAUCUCAUUUAUCUUUUACUUUUGCAUUAUAUA
rnacentral:lncRNA from 1 species